CUAGUAAGGAAAUCUCAUCAGGAGCAACACCCACGUGCAGGUACCAAGCCCCUGCUGCACCUGAAUUCAAUUGAUGCAAAGAAGCUGAAUUUAAAAUAUGCUCCAGAACAAAGCAAGGCCAGCUGGAGGAUUUCCUGCAGGAGAAAGGAAAAGUCUGGGGAGGCAGUGGGCUGGAAUGCUGAGCUGUGACACAUUCCUGCUGGCUACAGUCUCAUUCUGUUCCUCCCCUUACUAAGGCGGGCAAGCCCCGGGGUGUUCGCAGCGCUGCGGUGUGACAGCGGCAGCCCGGGAAGGCGAUCCAUGCGGUGAUCCCGGCGCUCCAUGCGGGGAUUGAGUCACUCACACAAGGUUACGCGAAUCGCUGGCGCCGCCAGGAAUAGCACCCGGAGCCUCCCGGCUCUCUCGAGCCCACCCUCGGUACUCCAGCCCGAAUUCCCCGGGUCUGAGACUUCUUCAAGCAAUAUGUCCUGCAAGGAUUAUGAACAUUUCUGCAGCAAGAUUUGAAACAGCCAGAUUCCAAUUUAAGUCCAAGUCCCUAGGAUUCACUUGUGAUUUCCAGUAAGGCUUCUUUAAGUGUGGCUCUGCUGCACACAAGGAAAUCACACCACAGGCUGGAGUGAGCCAGGAAGUCUCAUCCCCAAGUGGCUUUAUGCUCUUCAAAGAUACCUGAAGGAACCAGAGAAGAGAAGUGUGUCUCCAAAGAGUGAAUUUUUUGGCCCUUUGGAAAUGUAUGAACGGGACAGCACCAUAUGGGCUUGGCAUGCCCCAGGGAUGGCUGCGGGAGCCUGGGAACAUUCCGUGCCUGCAGCAAGUGUAGGAAGAAGGAAGGAGGAGAGCGGAGCGAGCGGCUGCAGGGAGCUGUGUGGGGAUGGCACUGAGCAGCAGGGCUGUACCAGCAGGGCCCAGCCAUGACCACGUCUCCAUCACAGCUGAGAACAGCAGCAGCACCUGCCUGACAUCACUGACAGAGGUACCUGCACAAAGGACCAGGUACAGACUUCUCAGGAUUUUGCCUGCUAUCCCAGACUAACACUUCAGAAGUGCCACCAAGGAAACUUCUCUGCAAAUCUCUUUCUAUUUCAAAACUUCUUAACUGAAUAAUGUGAGUGGCCAGAUACAUUCCUGCCUGUUGAAGCUCACAAUAGAAGAAUGUUCAAAAGGAAAAGGAAAAUAUUUGGAAAGUAUUUUUUUUACUAUCACACAGACCUGGAAAUUGUAUCAACUGAGGAGAUACACCAGUUGUUCCUUCAGCUACCUUUUUUGUGCUGGCAACCUGCCCUGCAAUUUCCAGGGACAGCAAACCUGUGAGACAGAUGCACUCACUGUGUGACUGAGGAUGCUCUCCAGCCCUGCUGUGCCAGCCCUGGGAGCGGGGCCGUGUGUGGGGUCUGCUGUUUUCUGGUUGGAGUGCUUUUUAUAGCCUGUAUUAUAAGGAAACCCACACGUGGGGAAAGGAAGAAGGAAUUAAAUGGAAAACAAACCACAGGCCCAGCCGUUAAUCCUUCUGGGGAAAGCAGGGCCUGGGCUGCAUUCUUCAGCAGCCAGCCCACUGUGGGACACACCAGGUGAGAGUUGUCAGCAGUCUGAGCUGAGUCUCUGGUCAGCCAUCAUUGUGGGGGAUCUGCUGCUGCUCUCCCUCUGGAGCCUGUUCCUUUGUGCUCUUUCCAUGAGGAGCAGCCAAAAUCAUGAGUUAGACGUUGCUGAUACUAAAGAGGACUCCUGGCAUCUGCCCCGAAUGGAGAAAUCAACGUGUCAUUCAUUAAAGAUAUCCCUGCUUGUACAGGGAACGCGUGUUUGCCAGAUGGUGCCAGUUCAGGAUUCCCAGAGGUCCAUCCCUGCUGAAUGCCAGAGCCACCCCAGUCCCAGAGUCCCCCAAGGGUCCUCACUCCUCUCCCUGCAGCCUGGCAGAGAUGCCCCUGGACUUCUCCCAGCUGAGGCUGUGUUGUGACCCCAGACUGCCAAGGAAAGUACAAAAUUGAUGUAUCUUGGGGGAGGGAGGGAGGGGUGUGGGCUGAGAUCUGGUGUCUUGAGACCAUUCUUUAGUGCUGAUCCAGACUGUCUUAUUCCCAGCACUUUUCAAAUUGUGUUAUUUCCUACAGUUUGCAACUACACACAGUAGUCAGAGGUUAUGACAUGUAGCUGACUUUAAAGGACACUGUCUGUAACAAGUGCUAUGUAUGUAUUCUAUAAAUGUUGUUAUACCCUGUAUUUUAUAGCUUUAGACUGCAAUAAAAAGGGACAAACUA